GAUGAACGCUAGCGGCAGGCCUAACACAUGCAAGUCGAGGGGCAGCACAGAAACAGCAAUGUUUUGGUGGCGACCGGCGGACGGGUGCGUAACGCGUAUGCAACCUACCUUUAACAGGGGGAUAACGGAGAGAAAUUUCCACUAAUACCCCAUAACAUCGAUCAAGGCAUCUUGAUUGGUUGAAAACUCCGGUGGUUAAAGAUGGGCAUGCGUUGUAUUAGGUAGUUGGUGAGGUAAUGGCUCACCAAGCCUACGAUACAUAGGGGGACUGAGAGGUUAGCCCCCCACACUAGUACUGAGACACGGACCAGACUCCUACGGGAGGCAGCAGUGAGGAAUAUUGGUCAAUGGGGGCAACCCCGAACCAGCCAUGCCGCGUGCAGGAAGACGGCUCUAUGAGUUGUAAACUGCUUUUAAACAGGGAUAAAGCACAGUAUGUAUACUGUGUUGAAGGUACUGUAAGAAUAAGGAUCGGCUAACUCCGUGCCAGCAGCCGCCGUAA
rnacentral:rRNA from 1 species